AAGCUGCGAUAAGUAAUGUGAAUUGCAGAACUCAGUGAAUCAUCGAGUCUUCGAACGCAUAUUGCACCCCCUGGCAUUCCGGGGGGCACGCCUGUCCGAGCGUCGUCAAGGUCUACGUUCGGGCGACCCCUGGAGGGUCUCGAAAACCUCCGGUGGGUCGCCCGGCCUUGGGUCGACCGCCCUCGUCGAGGGCGGGGCCUGCAAGGCAAGAAAGUCGGUCCGUCCCUGGGAAAGAACCCCGAGCGCAGCGGCUGUCCCAGCUCGAGGAGGUUCCUUCCCAGGUCGACGCGAUCCGCCCUACAGGUUCCCUACAGGGUUCCCUGUGGGUUCCACGCCGAAUUGACCUCGGAUCAGGCGGGGAUACCCGCUGAACUUAAGC
rnacentral:misc_RNA from 1 species